rnacentral:rRNA from 1 species
CCUACGGGGGGCUGCAGUGAGGAAUAUUGGUCAAUGGACGAGAGUCUGAACCAGCCAAGUAGCGUGAAGGAUGACUGCCCUAUGGGUUGUAAACUUCUUUUAUAUGGGAAUAAAAUGUUCCACGUGUGGGAUUUUGUAUGUACCAUAUGAAUAAGGAUCGGCUAACUCCGUGCCAGCAGCCGCGGUAAUACGGAGGAUCCGAGCGUUAUCCGGAUUUAUUGGGUUUAAAGGGAGCGUAGGUGGAUUGUUAAGUCAGUUGUGAAAGUUUGCGGCUCAACCGUAAAAUUGCAGUUGAAACUGGCAGUCGUGAGUACAGUAGAGGUGGGCGGAAGUCGUGGUGUAGCGGUGAAAUGCUUAGAUAUCACGAAGAACUCCGAUUGCGAAGGCAGCUCACUGGACUGCAACUGACACUGAGGCUCGAAAGUGUGGGUAUCAAACAGGAUUAGAUACCCUUGUAGUC